AGCCUCGUCCACGUCUCGCCCAGAGCUUUCGCGAAAUGAUCGUCCACUGCAACGAACAAAUUCAUGUGCCAAUCAAUCAAUUCAUUUUCGUUACUACGUCAUAUCGAGAUUCGGACGAAUCGGUGAUGAAAAUAGGCUCACCACUGAGGCCAGUUUCCUUGUCGGUGGUCGAGGAUGCGUUGAAAACAGCUGCGUAGUCUUUAAGGCCGAGGGACCUUUUGAAGUGUUCGUCUAUUGCAGGGUCACUGACGACUCCUGGGCUUCGAAUACCAGUUCUCUGGCCGCCUAUCGCCGCCGAAGGCGUAGCCGAUGGCGUGGGCGUCACUGCUGUAUCCUCGAUCGUCGUGCCUGCACAACAAACAAUUCAUUCAAACUCUUUCAUCCCGUUUUAUUCCACCCCUUUUAAUAUUCAUUUUUUCGCUGAAUCCAAAAUGACUUUGGAAUAAUAUUCUUCUAUUCCAUUCUCAGAGGCUCGAAACAAUAUUUGGAAAACAUUUUUUUUAUCGAUGAGUAAACAAUUUCGAAUUUCAAACUAUUUCAUUCACAGCUGACUGAUUGCUUUCCAAUCGUUCAGUGGGAACUUCCAGCUUUCUUAUCACUUUCAGUAUAAUUAACUGAUCAGACUUUUAAACUGUUUCGUCCAUAGUUUCCUGAUAGAUUUUUAAUCGUUUUGUGGAAAUUUUCAGUUUCCUCAUUACUAUUUUCAGUAUUUUUCGACCCAUUUUGCUUCUUCAACUGUCCCAUUAAUCGUUUGCUGAUGGAUUUUCAGCGAGAGGAAAUUUAGACACUAAUUUUGAAUUUUCAACCAUUUUACUUGGCCAACCUCAGUCCUUUGUCAAGAUUUUUUAUUUUUUCCUCCAAAAAGCACAGCUGCGAUUAAACUCAUAAAAUACUCUCGAAAUAUUAGCUUUUUCACACUAAAAUUCAUACGUUUCCCUAAAAAUGUUUCCCUGAGCAAGACUCCCGAACGAAAUAACAAACUUCCAAAUUUCUUCCCAUCCAAAAGUCAUAUAAAAAAGAGAAUCGAAGAAAACUAUUGCAACUUCAAGGCUUUUAGCAUCGUCAAUAUUUCAAUGAUUCCCUCCAAAAAGCACAGCUGCGAUUAAACUCAUAAAAUACUCUCGAAAUAUUAGCUUUUUCACACUAAAAUUCAUACGUUUCCCUAAAAAUGAUUCCCUGAGCAAUACUCCCGAACGAAAUAACAAACUUCCGAAUUUCUUCCCAUCCAAAAGUCAUAUAAAAAAGAGAAUCGAAGAAAACUAUUGCAACUUCAAGGCUUUUAGCAUCGUCAAUAUUUCAAUGAUUCCCUUCACAUUCGUUUUGAUAAUUAAUAUUUUAAUCGUUACUGUGAUUGUUAUUAGGAGGAUUUUGUAGGACAUACCGGGUUGAGGUGCGGCUGGCACGAUAACACUUGGCCUGUUGUGAUGAUGCACCCUCGCCGCUGACAUAUCCAGUGCCUCGCUCUGAAUCGGGUCCCUCCUACGCUCCCUGCGCCACGCGCUGCUUGGUUUUCUAUGAAGACUCGUUGACUUUGGUCGUUCUUCUGCAAAGGAAAACGAGCAUAUGUGUAGCCACGUAUUCAUCCUCGGUGUACAAUAAUAUCGAUAACUUCCGCCUGUUUAAUCUCGGGCUUUGUAUAUUCGUUUUCAUAUUUAUUAUUGUUUCUCGAUAUUUAUUUUCCUACAAUCAAUAUAAAUUGAGCGCGGAGUGCGGACAACGCGGAAGAGGACGCGUGAAAAGAAAAAGAGAAAGGGCCCGCGCUCGCUUCCGCGGUCAUCUCUGCCCACUUCCUUUAUGUGCUUUUAUUAAACAGCUCGUUUAUGAGUUACGAUUAAGCAUGCUGCGUUCUGUUGUCUGCAAAAAAUCUGGAGGUUAAGAAAAACUAAUUUUCUGUUUAUUUUAUCCUUUUUUCGUUUUCGCUUCGACGGUCGUGGCUCCUCGGAGUUUUGACGAUUCAAUAUUCAUGAAUUUUUGUAAACGAUUUCAGUAAGAGACUUUAGUAAAGAUUUUUGUAAGUUUU
rnacentral:lncRNA from 1 species